CCUACGGGUGGCAGCAGUGGGGAAUAUUGCACAAUGGGGGGAACCCUGAUGCAGCGACGCCGCGUGAGUGAAGCAGUAUUUCGGUAUGUAAAGCUCUAUCAGCAGGGACGAAGAUGACGGUCCCUGACUCAGAAGCCCCGGCUAACUACGUGCCAGCAGCCGCGGUAAUACGUGGGGGGCAAGCUUUAUCCGGAUUUACUGGGUGUAAGGGGAGCGUAGACGGCAGGUAAAGUCUGGAGUGAAUGCCCGGGGCCCAACGCCGGGACUGCUUUGGAAACGGCCAUGCUAGAGUGCUGGAGAGGUGAGCGGAAGUCCUAGUGUAGCGGUGAAAUGCGUAGAUAUUAGGAAGAACACCAGUGGCGAAGGCGGCUUACUGGACAGUAAAUGACGUUGAGGCUCGAAAGCGUGGGGAGCAAACAGGAUUAGAUACCCUGGUAGUC
rnacentral:rRNA from 1 species